GACGAACGCUGGCGGCGUGCUUAACACAUGCAAGUCGAACGGAAAGGCCCUGCUUUUGUGGGGUGCUCGAGUGGCGAACGGGUGAGUAACACGUGAGUAACCUGCCCUUGACUUUGGGAUAACUUCAGGUAACUGGGGCUAAUACCGGAUCGUAGCUCCUGCUGCAUGGUGGGGGUUGGAAAGUUUCGGCGGUUGGGGAUGGACUCGCGGCUUAUCAGCUUGUUGGUGGGGUAGUGGCUUACCAAGUCUUUGACGGGUAGCCGGCCUGAGAGGGUGACCGGGCACAUGGGGACUGAGGUACGGCCCAGACUCCUACGGUAGGCAGCAGUGGGGAAUAUUGCACAAUGGGCGGAAGCCUAAUGCAGCAGCGCCGCGUGCGGGAUGACGGCCUACGGGUUAUGAACCGCUUUCGCCUGUGACGAAGCGUGAGUGACGGUAAUGGGUAAAGAAGCACCGGCUAACUACGUG
rnacentral:rRNA from 1 species